UGCCCCGGACCGACUCAGGAGGACGGGCGUGUGCGCGACGGGAGUCGCGGCCCCAGAGGACGUGGGCGUGCGUGGUCCCUUCUGUUGCAGAGAGAGUGGCGCGCGGGAGUCCACAGCCGCGGAGGAGCGGAGCCCCGGGAGGGGGAGCUGCCGACAAUCCCUGUUGCAGGGCUUUCGGAAUGACGGGUAAGGGGCUACCAGCAAAACUUCAGCAAAUCCCUCGAAUGGCUCCCCGCUGCCUGUAAGGCACACCCAGCCCCUGUGGCAUGGAACCCGGAAGCAAGAGGGGUCCCGUUAAAACAUGCUGUUCGCUCUGCCUGUGGAGAUGAAAAUACACCUUUUCCUUCCCUGCUCUGUAAAUUCUUACCCCUAAGAAUUGUUGUUCCCCAUCUCUGGAAUAUUCUAGAAUAAGCCUCUUCACCCACAAAGUUAACUUCUUCCUUAGAGCCAUUCCACUGUCGCCAGUACUUGUUUCUGCACUCUCAUGGUUUCCUCCCCCUCCUCAAUGUGAGUCAGUAAAUCGCCUUCCUGGCUUACACCAA